GAUGAAGAACGCAGCGAAAUGCGAUAAGUAAUGUGAAUUGCAGAAUUCAGUGAAUCAUCGAAUCUUUGAACGCACAUUGCGCCCCCCAGUAUUCUGGCGGGCAUGCCUGUUCGAGCGUCAUUUCAACCAUCAAGCCCUGCUUGUGUUGGGGUCCUGCGGCUGCCCGCAGGCCCUGAAAACCAGUGGCGGGCUCGCUAGUCACACCGAGCGCAGUAGCACAUCUCGCUCAGGGCGUGCGGCGGGCUCCAGCCGUUAAAGCACCCACCUUUCGCAAGGUUGACCUCGGAUCAGGUAGGAAUACCCGCUGAACUUUAGCAUAUCACUAAGCGGAGGA
rnacentral:misc_RNA from 1 species